rnacentral:rRNA from 1 species
UACAGAGGGUGCGAGCGUUAUUCAUAAUUACUGGGCGUAAAGCGUGCGUAGGUGGAUAUUUUAGUUUACUUUGAAAAAAUAAUCGUUAUUGUUAUUUAGAUUUAAAAACGAAAUAUCUAGAGUUCAGACGGGGAUAGUGGUAUUUUAAAUGGAGGGGUUAAAUCCUGAGAUAUUCUAAAGGACCACCAAAGCGAAGGCAACUAUCUGGGCUGUAACUGACACUGAGGCACUAAAGCAUGGGGAUCAAAAAGG